UUAGGCAACAAAAACACGGAAAAUACGCAGGAGCCGCCCUCAUCGUUGAAGACAGAUAAAAAAUCUAGGCGGAGAAAACUACGCUCAAGGUGCUCAUUUAGACCAGAGAAAGGAAACUGCGCAGGCUCUCAUUCACUUCUCAGGUGGUGGUAUAACCCAGACAGCGGAGUAUGCGAAUCAUUUAAGUUUCCUGUAUGCAACAGCAAACUUGGACCAUUUCUGACAUGCCAGGUGUGCAUGACGGCGUGCUUAAAAAAUAAACCUCGCGCAGAAAAAACAAGAUUGACCAAGAAAGUCUGUCUCACGAAGCAUUGAAAAUGAAGUCCAGAAGACCAUAGUUUGAACUUCUACGUGUUUCAGCUUGUACUGUUCGAAGAUAACGUCAUACAAAUAAUAUAAUAAAUCAACAAAUUUUUUGCUUG